rnacentral:tRNA from 3 species
UGCUCCUUAGCUCAGUCGGUAGAGCACGCGGCUGUUAACCGCGGUGUCGUCAGUUCGAGCCUGACAGGAGCAGCCA